rnacentral:miRNA from 1 species
UUGGGAAACAUUGUGGCUUGCCCAAUGCUCAGACCUAACUUGCUUCUUUACUUCCCCAGAA